rnacentral:rRNA from 1 species
CUACGGGCCGCUGCAGUGAGGAAUAUUGCACAAUGGGGGGAACCCUGAUGCAGCAACGCCGCGUGGAGGAUGACGCAUUUCGGUGUGUAAACUCCUUUUAUAUGUCAAGAAAAUGACGGUAGCAUAUGAAUAAGCACCGGCUAACUCCGUGCCAGCAGCCGCGGUAAUACGGAGGGUGCAAGCGUUACUCGGAAUCACUGGGCGUAAAGGACGCGUAGGCGGGCUUGUAAGUCAGGUGUGAAAUCCUACAGCUUAACUGUAGAACUGCACUUGAAACUACGAGCCUAGAGUAUGGGAGGGGCAGAUGGAAUUAGUGGUGUAGGGGUAAAAUCCGUAGAUAUCACUAGGAAUACCUAAAGCGAAGGCGAUCUGCUGGAACAUAACUGACGCUAAGGCGUGAAAGCGUGGGGAGCAAACAGGAUUAGAUACCCGCGUAGUC